GGAAUGUUGUCUGGCUCGAGGC
rnacentral:miRNA from 1 species